rnacentral:rRNA from 1 species
GACGAACGCUGGCGGCGUGCUUAACACAUGCAAGUCGAACGAAGUGGAGAACGGGAGAGUAAUAUGUGGGGAACGUGCCCUACUUUUUGGGGUAGGCCUUGGAAACGGGGCCUAAUAUCGAAUCAAGGGGGAUGGGCUCGCGGACUAUCAGGUGGUUGGUGGGGUGGUGGCCGACCAAGGCGGUGACGGGUAGCCCGACUGAGAGGGUGAACGGCCACAUUGGCACUGACAUACCUCCCAGACGCGUACGGGGGGCAGCAUUGGGGGAUAUGGCCCAAUGGGCGACAGCCUGAUGCAGCGACGCCGAGUGGGGGAUUAGGACUUUCGGGUUGUAAACCUCGUUCGCUAUCGAACGGGUAUGUAGAGAAGAAGCGCCGGCUAACUACGUGCCAGCCGCCGCGGUAAUUC